rnacentral:tRNA from 1 species
GCGCCCCUAGCUCAGCGGAAGAGCACGCGGCUUCUACCCGCACGGUCGGCAGUUCGAAUCUGUCGGGGCGCACGA